AUGUUCUGAAGGUGCCAUCAUUUGAGAUGGAAGCUAUAUACUUCCACACACCCCAGACCAUGGACUGGAUAAGUAACAGUCUAGACCAAGCCUGGGGCAAGUCUAUCCUCCUUCUCUGUCAGUCCAGUGUGGUCUUUCCUGGGUGAUCUCUCAAAAGGAAAAAACUGUGCCUUAUCUGGGAUGCUAAAAGCCAAGAAUGAGUAAAUGACUGAAAAAGAAAGUCAGCAACAAAAGACAAUGGCGGCACAAUGGAGCGUGGUAUAAACCGAAUGGGUAGUUUCAGCGAGAGCAAGUUAAUUACUCCUAGAGACUCCGUUUUUAUAGAUGGUGCCAAGAGGACGACAAAAAGAGAACCACCAUUUGCGAGCCCAGCCAGGUGUACACACCAGAUCCCAGAUCGUCCAGAUUGGCAUAAUGACACCCUGUCUCAAAAAUAAAACAGCUGGAAAGUUAUGAGAGGCUUCCUGUACUCUGGAGAGCUGCUGCGUCUGGACUGAGAGGAGGGAAGUUAGCGAAGGAAGAAGAGGUGAGGAGAAAGAGGAAAGAGUGAAAAUGGUAGCUGAGAAAACAGGACAGAACAAAACAAAACUCGAUGUAUCAGCCUCACAGCCUACGAGUGCUUGUCUCCGUAUUCCUGCCUGACCUGCAUCUAUUUUUACACAUCUGCGGAGCUUGUUUGCCCGCCUCUGGUUUAUGCUUUCCACGGAGCCCUGCUGGUACUCCAGCCCAUUGUCUCCCCCCUGCUAGAUGCUCCCUUGCAGAGGCCCCCUGUGACCAACUGAUGGCUCUCCCUUGCAUAAGGCCACCUGCCCAUCAUCGACAAGUGUCAGAACUGGAUUUUCAACAACAGACAUUUGUCAGGCUUAUUAGUUUUCAGUAAGUCUUAUUGUUUCUCUUCAUUUCCAAAUAUUAAAUGUUGGUUCAUUUUG
ensembl:antisense 4930579M01Rik RIKEN cDNA 4930579M01 gene